rnacentral:rRNA from 1 species
AACGAACGCUGGCGGCAGGCUUAACACAUGCAAGUCGAACGCGUGUAGCAAUACACGAGUGGCGCACGGGUGAGUAACGCGUGGAUAUCUGCCUUUUGGUUCGGAAUAACCCCGGGAAACUGGGGCUAAUACCGGGAUGGUUCCUUCGGGAUAAAGAUUUAUCGCCAAAAGAUGAGUCCGCGUCCGAUUAGCUAGUUGGUGAGGUAAUGGCUCACCAAGGCGACGAUCGGUAGCUGGUCGAGAGGACGAUCAGCCACACUGGGACUGAGACACGGCCCAGACUCCUACGGGAGGCAGCAGUGGGGAAUAUUGGACAAUGGGGGCAACCCUGACCCAGCCAUGCCGCGUGAGUGAUGAA